CCCAGAACCUGAAGGUGGGCAGAUCUGAAGUUCCUCUCUUAAUACGGGAUUUCCAAGGGUUGAGCUGCGCUCAGCGGCAGUCCCUGCAACUGACUGUUUGUACGUGUGCAGCUGAUGGUGGAUGCAAAGACAAACUUAUUUCCAAUGCAGUCAGUGGGCCUGGGACCAGGAGCAGUUGCACUAAUCAUCUUGGCGUUUUUACUUCUGCUACUUCUUCCACUGCUAUUGCUGUUGUGUCCAUGUGGCUCGGGAGCAAAGGGAUUUGCUGCAAUACCAGACUGCAGUGAAGAGGUGUUGCGUAAAUGGAACAGCGAAGGAGCAGCUCCGGAAGAGAAGCCAUUGCAAAGCAUCAUCCCACCCACUGCACUGGGGAACUCUAAAGGAGUGACUGCUGGAGCAGCAGCAGCAGCAGGAGCAGCAACAGGAGCAGCAGCAGCAGGAGGAGGAAUGAGUGCAGAGGAAGCUGCAGCAUGUGGAGGCAGCUCUGCCUCUAAUGUAAGAGGGCAUUGCAGCAUCGUUACCAGGGAAGGAUGGGAAGAGCAAAGACAUCUCCUUUCUGGUGCUGAUUACCAUGCCAGAGCUGCAGCAGCUGGAGGCUGUUGA
rnacentral:lncRNA from 1 species